UUAAGCAUAUCAAUAAGCGGAGGAAAAGAAACCAACAGGGGUUGCCUCAGGAACGGCGAGUGAAGCGGCAACAGCUCAAAUUUGAAAUCUGGCCUCUGGCCCGAGUUGUAAUUUGCAGAGGAUGUUUCUGGCGAGGUGCCUUCCGAGUUCCCUGGAACGGGACGCCAUAGAGGGUGAGAGCCCCGUACGGUUGGUCGCUAAGCCUCUGUGAAACUCCUUCGACGAGUCGAGUAGUUUGGGAAUGCUGCUCUAAAUGGGAGGUGUACGCCUUCUUAAGCUAAAUACCGGCUAGAGACCGAUAGCGCACAAGUAGAGUGAUCGAAAGAUGAAAAGCACUUUGAAAAGAGGGUUAAAAAGUACGUGAAAUUGUUGAAAGGGAAGCGCUCUUGACCAGACUUGCGCCGGUUGAUCAUCCGCCGUUCUCGGUGGUGCACUCUGCCGGCUCAGGCCAGCAUCAGUUCGGUCCGGGGGAUAAAGGCUUCGGGAAUGUGGCUCUCUCCGGGGAGUGUUAUAGCCCGUUGCGUAAUACCCUGGGCUGGACUGAGGUUCGCGCAUCUGCAUGGAUGCUGGCGUAAUGGUUAUCAGUGACCCGUCUUGAAACACGGACCAAGGAGUCGUCUUCGUAUGCGAGUGUUCGGGUGUCAAACCCCUACGCGUAAUGAAAGUGAACGUAGGAGAGAGCUUCGGCGCAUCUCCGACCGAUCCUGAUGUUCUCGGAUGGAUUUGAGUAAGAGCAUACGGGGCCGGACCCGAAAGAAGGUGAACUAUGCCUGUAUAGGGUGAAGCCAGAGGAAACUCUGGUGGAGGCUCGCAGCGGUUCUGACGUGCAAAUCGAUCUUCAAAUAUGGGCAUGGGGGCGAAAGACUAAUCAAACCUUCUAGUAGCUGGUUUCC
rnacentral:rRNA from 1 species